ACAUGCAAGUCGAACGGGGUUUGUCGAAGCUUGCUUUGACAAACUUAGUGGCAAACGGGUGAGUAACGCGUAGACAACCUGCCGUAAUGUUGGGGACAACAGCUCGAAAGAGCUGCUAAUACCGAAUGUUGCUAGAGUUUCACAUGGGGCUUUAGUUAAAGAUGGCCUCUAUUUAUAAGCUAUCGCAUUAUGAUGGGUCUGCGUCCGAUUAGCUAGUUGGUGAGGUAACGGCUCACCAAGGCGACGAUCGGUAGCCGAUCUGAGAGGAUGACCGGCCACAUUGGGACUGAGACACGGCCCAGACUCCUACGGGAGGCAGCAGUGGGGAAUUUUCCGCAAUGGGGGCAACCCUGACGGAGCAACGCCGCGUGAGUGAAGAAGGGUUUCGACUCGUAAAGCUCUUUUCCAUUGGACGAACGGUGCUUUUGUGAAUAAUGGAAGCAAGUGACGGUACAAAGGGAAUAAGCCACGGCUAACUACGUGCCAGCAGCCGCGGUAAUACGUAGGUGGCGAGCGUUGUCCGGAAUUAUUGGGCGUAAAGGGAGCGUAGGCGGAUAUAAAAGUCUUGCUUAAAAGUUCGGGGCUU
rnacentral:rRNA from 1 species